rnacentral:rRNA from 1 species
UGGGGAAUAUUGGACAAUGGGCGAAAGCCUGAUCCAGCCAUGCCGCGUGUGUGAAGAAGGCCUUCGGGUCGUAAAGCACUUUCAGUGAGGAAGAAAGCCUUGAGGUUAAUACCCUCGAGGGAGGACAUCACUCACAGAAGAAGCACCGGCUAACUCCGUGCCAGCAGCCGCGGUAAUACGGAGGGUGCGAGCGUUAAUCGGAAUUACUGGGCGUAAAGCGCGCGUAGGCGGCUUGAUAAGCCGGUUGUGAAAGCCCCGGGCUCAACCUGGGAACGGCAUCCGGAACUGUCAGGCUAGAGUGCAGGAGAGGAAGGUAGAAUUCCCGGUGUAGCGGUGAAAUGCGUAGAGAUCGGGAGGAAUACCAGUGGCGAAGGCGGCCUUCUGGACUGACACUGACGCUGAGGUGCGAAAGCGUGGGUAGCAAACAGGAUUAGAUACCCUGGUAGUCCACGCCGUAAACGAUGUCGACUAGCCGUUGGGCUCCUUGAGAGCUUUGUGGCGCAGUUAACGCGAUAAGUCGACCGCCUGGGGAGUACGGCCGCAAGGUUAAAACUCAAAUGAAUUGACGGGGGCCCGCACAAGCGGUGGAGCAUGUGGUUUAAUUCGAUGCAACGCGAAGAACCUUACCUACCCUUGACAUCGAGAGAACUUUCCAGAGAUGGAUUGGUGCCUUCGGGAGCUCUCAGA